GCCCUGUUCAGGUGACUGUGCGAUUUUUCGCUCCCGACUGGGUCCUGACCGACAGAAGUCUGAGCUGUGUGGUUCAGACUCUCCUAGGAUGACUACAUCAUACCGUGGUAAACAGUAGCACUGGAGGUCACCGUUCCUGCUGUGUGGACUGAAAGUACAGAAGACUGUGGUCUGCAGAGCGGGAGCAAGAGUGAAAUAGCUGCGCAGGGAGGAGGACAAUGCUGAGGACAGGCCUCAGCCGCGGUGAGGGAGUCACUCCCCCAAGGGAGGCAGCGCUUGUCUGUUGCUGCGGACACCAAGCCUUUUUGACCCUGUCUCCCAGGGCUUGUUUCAUCCCUUCCUGGGCAAGGACCUUUCCCUCCCUUGCUUAAGAAAAUGAAAUUGGACUUGACUCCUGUCUUGGUUACUUUUCUCUCCUUGCUGAGACAAAAUACCCAACGCCCAAAAUGAAGGAAGGAAAGGUUUAUUCAGCUUACAGUUUGUGGAGGUUUCAGUCCAUACUUGGCUGGCUCCGAGGCAGAAGGUAGCAAAGCACCAAGGGCAAAGGAGGAAUGGCAGCCGAACAGCAAACAGCCAGAGCAAACGGG
rnacentral:lncRNA from 1 species